rnacentral:rRNA from 1 species
UACAGAGGGGCAAGCGUUGUUCGGAAUCACUGGGCGUAAAGCGCACGUAGGCGGAUGUGUCAGUCAGGGGUGAAAUCCCGGAGCUCAACUUCGGAACUGCCUUUGAUACAGCACGUCUUGAGUCCGAUAGAGGUGGGUGGAAUUCCUAGUGUAGAGGUGAAAUUCGUAGAUAUUAGGAAGAACACCGGUGGCGAAGGCGGCCCACUGGAUCGGUACUGACGCUGAGGUGCGAAAGCGUGGGGAGGCAAACAGGG